AUAGGUUUUUUUUUUUUACGUUACAACGUUUCAUCUCCUCACUCUCUCGUUCUCACGCCUCCCUCACAUUCAUGGAGAUUCCGCCGCGCCGGUAAUCCCCUACGGUGGCGGCGGUGAUCGAACUCUACGCUUCUCAGAUUCUCCCUCUCUCUUCCUAAUUUCGGAUUUAGUUUAACACGAUUCCUCAUAAUACGGAUCAAAAGCAAACCCUAGGCCUAACCAACGACGAGAUUAAAUGCAAACCACUGCGAAUCACAGAGCAAGACCAUGGGGGAAUCGUUCAAGGAGCUUAAUACUACACCACAACAUCAAAAACGCAGCAAGAGAUGAAGAAGGAGGAGUCGAUUUGAAGACUUACCUGGAUGACGAAGAUGGCGAAUCGUUGAGGAAAACCGGAGGGGAGAAUCAGAAGCUCUUCAGUGUGCGAAAUAAACGCAAUUGAGGAAAUUGAUGAAUUCUUCCGAGAUGGAUGUGAAUCGCGGCUUGAAGCUUCUACGUGGAGAAGAUGGAGUUGAUGAUUGAAGUUGCAAGAUAAUUGAAGAUUCAGUUAAACGAUGGUGAUUUGAUGAUGAGUUUCUGAAGUAUGAAGAUUGUGGAGUUUGUUGGUGAUUGUGCAGAGAAAUGGUGGAGUGGAGAUGAAGAUGAUGAAUUGAGAUUGAUGAGUAUGUGAAAAAUGGUUGGGGAAUGGAGAGAGUGAUGAGAAUGAGAAGAUGCAGAGAGGGAGAAGAGUGAUUGGAGAUGAAGAUGGUGAAUUUCAGAGGGAGAGUGAAUCGUGGAAUGUGUGAAGGUGAAGUGAAGAUUGAAGAAAUUGUGAAAAAAUGGUGGAGAGGAAAGUGAUGAAUGGAAGUUCUAAUUUAUAGAUAUUCUUCAGGGAUGUUUUUAAUAGCUGCUGUUGCUGAAGUAAUGUCGACUGUGAGUCAUUGAUGUUUGCUGUUGAUGAGUAAUCUCUUUCCUUUUUUUUUUGAACUGAUGCAAGGAUGUUCUUGUAUGCUUGAUGGAUUUUGUAUAUGGCUGUUUGUGGAUUUAAAUAGUGAUGCUGUUCUCUCUUUUUUGUAUGCAGGACUGCAGCAAGUAUAUGGCAUUGGACUUGAAGGGUGAUGGAAUGGGAAGAAGGACUCUGCGGUUUAGACUUAGGCUUGUAUUAGUAAUAGGUUUUUGAACUGGUGUAUGUGGACCUGCUGUGUAUAAUAUGGUAUUUGAAAUGUGUGGACUUUGAUGUAAUGUGAAUGAUUGAAGUAUGAUAUGAAUUUUUUCGUAAUGGAUGCGUGUUUUGGACACUUGAAUGAUGAUGGUUGGUGGAUAAUGCUAGUAUUUGAACCAAUGAGCGUGUUUACAUUUUUUACAAUGACGAAUGACGUAGAAUAUAGAAUUUGGAUGAUGCAGAAAUAGUUUGAAUCUACCUUAAAUGAGGACCUAGAAACAAUAGUAAAAUUCCAACUCUUCGAAAUCCUUAAUCCACAAGAACAAUCGUAAACUCUUUAAGUUCCAGUUCAAAUCGCACAGGAGAACCAAAUGAAUCAGUCUUUGUUUGAUAUGUACACCUCAAAAUCAAUAUGAAACCUUAAUAAUCCAAAAUCCUUGAUCCCAAUGUCAAUUGUUGAUUAAUGAUGCAUGUGUUAUGUGAAAGACCUAAUGAAAGUAUGCGUAUGAAAUGUAAAGCUUACGCCAAUUAGGAUAAAAUCAGAUGGGCAAAUUUUGGGGUGCAACAUUGACCAACCACAUGAUGAAACGCACUCGUCUUCCUCGCAAUAACCUGUAACUCAGACUUAU